AUCCAGAUGUGUGCUGGUUGGAAAAGGCAGGAGCAGACAGAAAGAAAUUGGACUGGAGCUGUGGCAGUUGAGACCGGAGCAGUGGUUCCAGCCGCUGAGGAGAAAGCAGAAGGCAGAGAUAAAGCAACAAGAUUGGCCUGUGUGUCUGCAAGACUUCAUGCUGGAGAGGCUGGAGAAGGUUCUCCGUCAACAUUUCGUGGUUGAGUCAAUGAACAAUAAGUGAGAUGCAAGAAGACAAUCUAAUGAAGGUUGGGUGGAGGUGGCAGAGGAGAGGCAAGAUACAAGCGAUGCCAACGAGGACGAGUCUCAGAUGCAGCCCAUCCCCCUCCAGGAACUCCAGGAAUUUAGAGGCCUCAACAGCAUUGCAGAGAACUUUCUUCAUCCCUGAGCAUUCCCAGUGAUUGGGCCAAACCUUUAAGGCAGUGACACA